GACGAACGCUGGCGGCGUGCUUAACACAUGCAAGUCGAACGGAAAGGCCCUGCUUUUGUGGGGUGCUCGAGUGGCGAACGGGUGAGUAACACGUGAGUAACCUGCCCUUGACUUUGGGAUAACUUCAGGAAACUGGGGCUAAUACCGGAUAGGAGCUCCUGCUGCAUGGUGGGGGUUGGAAAGUUUCGGCGGUUGGGGAUGGACUCGCGGCUUAUCAGCUUGUUGGUGGGGUAGUGGCUUACAAAGGCUUUGACGGGUAGCCGGGUUGGCAGGGUGACCGGCCACCUCGGGACAGAGACACUGCGCAUGCGCCUAAGGCAGGCACCAGAGAGAUAGAGUGAACGCCCGCCCAGAGUCCUCCGCAGCACCGCGGAGGGUGGUAUUGCGGCAUGCGCGUUGUAAUCCGCUUUCGCCAGUGAUGAAGCGUUGUUGACGUAAAUCGGUAAAAAAGCACCUACUAGUUACGCACCUCACGCAGCGGUAAUAAUCGACGACCACUCGCCUCACC
rnacentral:rRNA from 1 species